rnacentral:rRNA from 1 species
AGAGUUUGAUCCUGGCUCAGGAUGAACGCUGGCGGCGUGCCUAAUACAUGCAAGUCGAGCGAACGGACGAGAAGCUUGCUUCUCUGAUGUUAGCGGCGGACGGGUGAGUAACACGUGGAUAACCUACCUAUAAGACUGGGAUAACUUCGGGAAACCGGAGCUAAUACCGGAUAAUAUUUUGAACUGCAUGGUUCAAAAGUGAAAGACGGUCUUGCUGUCACUUAUAGAUGGAUCCGCGCUGCAUUAGCUAGUUGGUAAGGUAACGGCUUACCAAGGCAACGAUGCAUAGCCGACCUGAGAGGGUGAUCGGCCACACUGGAACUGAGACACGGUCCAGACUCCUACGGGAGGCAGCAGUAGGGAAUCUUCCGCAAUGGGCGAAAGCCUGACGGAGCAACGCCGCGUGAGUGAUGAAGGUCUUCGGAUCGUAAAACUCUGUUAUUAGGGAAGAACAUAUGUGUAAGUAACUGUGCACAUCUUGACGGUACCUAAUCAGAAAGCCACGGCUAACUACGUGCCAGCAGCCGCGGUAAUACGUAGGUGGCAAGCGUUAUCCGGAAUUAUUGGGCGUAAAGCGCGCGUAGGCGGUUUUUUAAGUCUGAUGUGAAAGCCCACGGCUCAACCGUGGAGGGUCAUUGGAAACUGGAAAACUUGAGUGCAGAAGAGGAAAGUGGAAUUCCAUGUGUAGCGGUGAAAUGCGCAGAGAUAUGGAGGAACACCAGUGGCGAAGGCGACUUUCUGGUCUGUAACUGACGCUGAUGUGCGAAAGCGUGGGGAUCAAACAGGAUUAGAUACCCUGGUAGUCCACGCCGUAAACGAUGAGUGCUAAGUGUUAGGGGGUUUCCGCCCCUUAGUGCUGCAGCUAACGCAUUAAGCACUCCGCCUGGGGAGUACGACCGCAAGGUUGAAACUCAAAGGAAUUGACGGGGACCCGCACAAGCGGUGGAGCAUGUGGUUUAAUUCGAAGCAACGCGAAGAACCUUACCAAAUCUUGACAUCCUUUGACAACUCUA